rnacentral:rRNA from 1 species
UACAGAGGUGGCAAGCGUUGUUCGGAAUUACCGGGCGUAAAGGGCGCGUAGGCGGUUUCGUAAGUCCUGUGUGAAAUCCCCCGGCUCAACUGGGGAACUGCACAGGAAACUGCGAGGCUUGAGUUCGGGAGAGGGAAGCGGAAUUCCGGGUGUAGCGGUGAAAUGCGUAGAUAUCCGGAGGAACACCGGUGGCGAAGGCGGCUCCUGGACCGACACUGACGCUGAGGCGCGAAAGCUAGGGGAGCAAACAGG